rnacentral:lncRNA from 10 species
GGAGGGGAAGGGAAGGGAAAAACUGUAGUUUCAAGGGGUUAAGUAUGUUGCCCAAAGCCAAAGCCACUUUGGGCUCACUAGCUACCAGCUAGUAAGUGGUGAUGUGGAGACUCACCCAACUCAGGUAAAGUCCAUGAUCUUCACCACAGCAUCUGUGUUCUUGUCACUUUCUGGGACGGUGUUUCUCUCUUCUGAGUCCUCCACCCCCUCACCUGUGGUUUGGAUUGGUUGGAGUUUGACUGAGUAGUAAUGGCCACUUGGUUGGUUUCCAUGGCCUGGCGUGUGCUGUAGCUGUAGGAGAGGGCUGCCUGUGUCCAUGAGAACAAGGAAGCCUUCAGGAGAGAAAUCAGCCACUGCCACCCCCCAGUCCUUUAGGAGGCAGUCAGGCUGCUGACAAAGGGACCUCACGCUCCUCCCACGCAUUGCCUGGACCAGCUGGCAGCCCACAGGGGUGGCUUCAGGUCACUUCCUGCUGCAGAGUCCUCACUCCAGCUUUCUCACCAAUCCUCCCCCUACACAAGAAGAUCAUCUCUGGGUUCAGGUCACCCAUCCAACUCCACUGAUGGAUUUAGGCUCAUUUAAUCCAAACUCGACUCCAUUUCAGCCAGAACCAGGCACCUCUAGAAAGGUGUGACAUGGGCCUCUGUGACCCAAGCUGAGGACUAACCCACCGCUCAUAACACGGUUUCUACGGGAAAACCAAGUUGUGAAUUUUGAAUUAUCAGCCCACUGAGGGUGGAAGUCCAAGAUCUGUGGUGAUUUGGGUGCUGAUGCAAGCCAGAAGUCACAGCCCAGAGCCUGCAGCGGCUGCACUGCUGGGUCCCCAGUCCUCGAUGGGCACCAGCCAACCUGCCCUCUCGACCCUCCACAGCAACUCAGGCCCCCACUCCAUGGCUCCCCUGCACCAUCCUCAUGCCUGGUCAACUCUUGCUGCCAGUUGCUGUGAGACCCAGCUCACCACUGGGCAAACAGAGCUUGCAAAAUGCAGCCCAUGCUCACCAUUCAUGGAUUCCAUAUGUACAAAUUCACCUACCUGCGAAAUUGUAUCUGUAACCCCAAAAUCAAUACUGGCUGCACUUUUGGGGUCAUUCUCGGACACACACAGAGUGGGGAAGAAUGAGGGCUGCUCAACACGCACAUUCCCAGCGGGGGUGGAACAAGGCCCGCUCAGCCUGCUGGCUUCAGCUCCCACAAUGCAAACAAGUGUCCUUUUCGCAGGCUAUUUGGUGCCACAUUUUUCAUGCUUUUGUGCUUUGUGUUGGUGAUUUCACUGUUUAAAAUGUCCCCUAAGCAUAUUCGAAGCAACCUGGAUGAGACUGGAGACUAUUAUUCUAAGUGAAGUAACUCAGGAAUGGAAAACCAAACAUUGUCUGUUCUCACUCAUAAGUGAGAGCUAAGCUAUGAGGAUGCAAAGGCAUAAGAAUGACACAAUGGACUUUGGGGACUCAGGGAGAAAGAGUGGGAAGGGGGUGAGGGAUAAAAGACUACAAACUGGGUUCAGUGUAUGCUUCCCAGGUGAUGAGUGCACCAAAAUCUCACAAAUCACCACUAAAGAACUGACUCAUGUAACCAAAUGCCACCUGUUCCCCAAUAACCUAUGAAAAUAAAAAAAAAAAUUAAUGUCCCCCAAG